GACGUAGGGCGCGAGCGUUGUCCGGAUUUAUUGGGCGUAAAGAGCUCGUAGGCGGCUCGUUGCGGUCGGCUGUGAAAACCCGCAGCUCAACUGUGGGCUUGCAGCUGAUACGGGCGGGCUGGAGUUCGGUGAGGGGAGACUGGAAUUCCUGGAUGUAGCGGUGAAAUGCGCAGAGUAUCAGGAGGAACGACCGGUGGCGAAGGCGGGUCUCUGGGCCGAUACGUGACGCUGGAGGAGCGGAAAGCGUCGGGGGAGCAAACAGG
rnacentral:rRNA from 1 species